rnacentral:pre_miRNA from 1 species
AAAUCUCUGCAGGCAAAUGUGACGUUGCUGCCGAAAUCACACACUUGCCCGUAGAGAUGCUG